rnacentral:lncRNA from 1 species
GUGCUACUCCAAAGCUAUAUUUCAUUUGACGGAUGGUAACAUAUUUUAAAGUGUUUGAUUAUCUUCUAGUGAGAGAUGAUGUAAAGUGCAAAGUGUCGUUGUUAUACUGAAUGUGAAAUAAAAAUAAAGGGUAUUCCUUUACUUUUUCCUUAGAGGAAGCAGGGAGAAGAGAGGUAUUCUCCAAGACAGGCAUCUUUAUGUUAAAAAUAACUUGUAAAGUAGAAAUGUAAUGACAAACUCUAGAAGUAUAACAAAACAAAAUUCCUUUCCAUGUCUCCCAGUAGAAUAUGUAUUAUUAUUUUUUUUAACUUAAUUGAGUUAAUCCUUGUUUGUUUACCUUCUUGAUUAUAUUAACCAGCAAGGUAGUGAUUAAAGGCAGGAGUGUAGCUCAUGCUAAUUACCCUUAAACCCUCCCCCCGAACCUGUUUCUUUUUAGUGAGAGAUGAUUACAAUAAACACACCUGCACUAUUUUACAAGGAGGCUUGGCCCUGGCUGGGCUUUCUAAGCUGCUGGGAAAAGCCAGAACCCAACCCUACUCACAAGAGAGCUCACGCAAAGCUCUUAUGUUGGAUAUGGGUGUAUGGUGGCUGAGCAAGGAGAGAAUUGGGUUUAGGAUUCAAAUAUGCUGA